rnacentral:rRNA from 1 species
UUCUAUUGUUAUAAAUCUUAAUCAUCUAGUUGGAUGAUCAUUUUAUUUUAUUUGUCGAUAUGAGCUAUUCUAUUUCUUUUUAUUUUAAGAAACAAAUAAUAGUUUUUCUCCUAUCGAUUUUUUACUUUAUUAUCCUUAUUAAUAAUUUCAUUAUUUAUUUCUUUUACUUCCCCUCUAUAUUCUUUUAUAUUUCAAAUAUUUAAGAUUACUUUGUUAUAAAAAUAAUUUAUUAAAUUAACGUAGUGAUUUACCAACGUCCUAAGGAUCCUUAGGUUGGAAUAAUCCUGGAAAAGCUCAAACUUAUAUAGAAUUUUGAAAAGCAAGAUUUUAUCACAUUUUACGAUGAGAAUGAUUUUAUGAUUAUCGUUAAUUCUCUUUCAAUUAAUAUUUUUAAUAAUAUUUUAAACAAUUUUAAUUUAAAAUUAUCUUUUUAACAUAUUAUAUUAAAAAAAUCCAGGAAAGCAUGAUAUUUUUUUCUAUUUUUCUAUCUUUGGCUGGACCAAAUGUGGCCAGACUUGAGUUAAGUACAUUAAUUAAUUUUCAGCUUGUCUGAAGGAUAUUAAUGAUGACGCAUUAAUUCCC